GAUGAAGAACGUAGCGAAAUGCGAUAAGUAAUGCGAAUUGCAGAAUUUCCGUGAGUCAUCGAAUCUUUGAACGCAUAUUGCGCCCCUUGGUAUUCCAAAGGGCAUGCCUGUUCGAGCGUCAUUACAAAAUCUCAAGCCUAGAAGCUUGGUAUUGGGCUAUCAUAUCCACCAUUCUGUGGAGGUUAUGUGCCUGAAAAUCAGUGGCGGUGCCUAAAUGACCUCAAGCAUAGUGGACACCCUUGCUUUGGAGGUUUCAUUUUUCAGGCUUGCUUGCCCUUUUUAACUCUUCUAUUUGAAAGGUUUGACCUCGAAUCAGGUAGGGAUACCCGCUGAACUUAAGCAUAUCAAUAAGCGGAGGA
rnacentral:misc_RNA from 1 species